UACGUAGGGUGCGAGCGUUAAUCGGAAUUACUGGGCGUAAAGGGUGCGCAGGCGGUCUCGUAAGCUGGGUGUGAAAGCCCCGGGCUUAACCUGGGAAUGGCAUUCAGGACUGCGAGGCUUUGAGUGCGGCAGAGGGAGGUGGAAUUCCACGUGUAGCAGUGAAAUGCGUAGAUAUGCGGAGGAACACCGAUGGCGAAGGCAGUCCCCUGGGCCUGCACUGACGCUCAUGCACGAAAGCGUGGGAGCAAACAGGA
rnacentral:rRNA from 1 species